GUCACAAUGCCCCCAGACCCCCAUUAGCACCUUUGGACUAAGUACUGCCCUCACCACAUUCCUCUUUUAAAAGACCAUGAGACAUAAGAUAGUAAUAAUAAAGGCUACACUCUGUCCCUGGGGUGAAUUAGUCAGACUCAGCUUCCCUGAAGAGAGGUGCCUGGGGUAGCCAGGGAACUGCGGGUCAGCGGCGGGGACAGAGGGCACGCGAAGGGGCCCUCUGAUUGGACCUAGGGAUACAGAGAUAACUAAACCAAGGCCAGAGGCAGCCCUGGAAGUGGAGGAGGGCUUGUCGUUUGGAGUUUAAACAGUGACCUUUGAACUGAUGGCUGUGCAGCAACACCAGAGUGCACCAAGCCAGGCCAUGCGGCAGCCGUGGAACUUCCAAAUCUCCAGGGAUGCCCAGUGUUGCCUGAGCCCACCUUCUGACUCCUCUUUCUGACUCCCCUUGGCUUUGGAACCCUUCUGGGAACUGCCAUAUGUGGAGGCUUAGCGAUGACCAACCAGGUGGGAAGAGAAACACGGAAUCUCUCAGCACAGAAGCCAUUUUCAGAAAUGUUUUCCAACUAAAGCAACAUUAAAAAGGAGUCAUUGUUCACAAAA